GGCGAAACGAAACUUGUGAAUCGUACAUUUGCUCUUCAUGGUAGCUGCCAGAAAAUCGAAUCAAACUUACGGGACACUGGAUUACAGGUUGCUGCCACUACUCCAUGUGCCCGCAAUUGUCUUGCGUGUAUGAUUACACUUAUGGCGUCGCCCACCACGGCGGAAGUGUUUUGCGUACACGCGUUUCAGCAUGAAGCCUGCAGGUGGACGUAAAUUGUAGAAGGCAGCUAGUGGGGGAGAAGAUCAUGGUCAUAGGUCAUGUGACUCCUGGAGCUCCCAGUGGGCUCCCUUGUGGAGUACUUUUCAGAACACACACACACACACAGUUUGCUCACAGAACCAACGAGUAGGAUGUUGCUUGAAUACUGAGAGAAAAUGGCGUAAUACAUACAAAUAUCGUGUGACACAUAUGACAAUAAAAACAUUUUUCACGAGGGAUGCAUGAAACACUGUCGCAAUAUUGUGUGCAUGAACCAUUGUGUGUGACACAAGCCGUGGGGGCACACCGCCUCGGACACAUUUUGGGAAGCAUAAAACACA